rnacentral:rRNA from 1 species
GAGUUUGAUCAUGGCUCAGAUUGAACGCUGGCGGCAUGCCUUACACAUGCAAGUCGAACGGCAGCACGGGAGCUUGCUCCUGGUGGCGAGUGGCGAACGGGUGAGUAAUGCAUCGGAACGUAUCCUGGAGUGGGGGAUAACGUAGCGAAAGUUACGCUAAUACCGCAUAUUCUGUGAGCAGGAAAGCGGGGGACCUUCGGGCCUCGCGCUCUUGGAGCGGCCGAUGUCGGAUUAGCUAGUUGGUGAGGUAAAGGCCCACCAAGGCGACGAUCCGUAGCAGGUCUGAGAGGAUGAUCUGCCACACUGGAACUGAGACACGGUCCAGACUCCUACGGGAGGCAGCAGUGGGAAUUUUGGACAAUGGGGGCAACCCUGAUCCAGCCAUGCCGCGUGAGUGAAGAAGGCCUGG